AAACAAGUUAGAUAAUUGAAAUUUGAUGAGAUGGUGAGAACACAAACUAGAAUUGGGGGUAAAAGGAAUGUUAUAAUAAAGUUACACUGAUAUUGAAAGUUGUCACGUUUUAUAUAUGGGUAAUAAUAAAAUAUAAUAAAAAACAGACACCAACAUUAAAUAAAUGUCACAUGUCUGUUUUUCCUGCAUUUUUCACGUGUCUAUAUUUGAGACCAUGUUCCUUGGUUGAGAAUAAAAGUGAUCGAUGAAUUUUGAGUCUCACUUAUAAAAGAGUUUGGCUAUAAGUUCCUCAAUCUCCCUUUGGAAUGAUGCAUUUGCUUUGCAACAACAACAUGGGAUCUCAGAACACCAAAACCAAAUUUCUCAAUGCAAGUCCCCAGAAAUUAUUUUUCUAUGGCGUGGCUCCAAAGAGUGGUAUCACAACUUAUGUUUUAAUCAAAGGAGGAAGAUGAGCAUUUUGACAUGCUGACCAGAAUCAACAUUGUGUGUUGUGCCUUUGGAGAAAGAUUAGGCGUGAUGAUUCUUUUUAUGCAAGGACUUCAUUAAUGCAUAUAUGGUUAGGGUCUGGUUUGGUAAUAUGGAAAUUGUCGACAAUGAGUCUGAUGUGCAAGGCAAGGAUGAUUGAUGAUAGAAAAAGAUCAUCGUUGUUAAUGAGUCAUGUAGAUCCUUAGUGAUGAGAGUGAUUCAAACAAAUAUGUUGGUAGUAUGUAAAAUGUUUGUUUCAGAACAUGUGAGACUUUAGAUGAAGGAAAUAUAUGUUUGUUAUCAAGUGAAUAUUCACUAAAGUCCAACAUUGAGUAAUAUGAAGAAGAGAGUAGCAAAAAAGUACUAUAAGAAUUAAGAUUUGGAGUUAUCAAAAUAACUCAAUGAGAGACUUAGGUAAUUGUUAUUAUUAUAGAGUUUGCAAUUUUGUCCAAAGAAUUUACAUGAGAAGGUUUGCAUUAUUUGGCAGAAAAAAUAUAUGAGAUGGUUUGCAAUUUUUGCUAGAAAA